UAGAGCUCAAAUUUUCAUGAUUAGCCAAUUUAAGCUCUUUUACAAUCCAUUGUUUUGUAUGCAUCACAACAUGCAUAUUUAAGUAUGAGCCAUCCCCCACAAACUAAAGAUCAACCUACACCCAUUUUAGUAUAUAUAUAUAUGCACUACAAAUAACGUCAAAUGUUUAAAAUAAGCUGUACUAAGGUUGCGCUUACACAAUACCGGAUUCCCUCAUCACGACAUCUUCAUUUGCUUUAAAGGGUUAACUUUACGGAUUAAAGGCUUAUUAAGUUGAUAAAUUUAGUCUAUUUGAUUGUGCUUCUGACGUUGAACAAAUUCACUGCCUUUUAGUACAAAGGAAAUUUAACUUGUUACGAGAGUAAUCCGGUAUAGUGUAAACAGGGCCUACGUAAUUUAUGAUAAUGUGUUAUUAUAAACAUUUUUUGCUAUUGAUAAUUUUGCUCAAAGUUUUAAUCAUCUAUUGCCCAAACAAAAACAAUAAAAAUCAUAUGCCGUAUAUUUGCUUUACAUAAUAGUCCAUUCUUAAGAUGAUUUAACUUCCGUGACACAAAAUAAUAUGCCACGUAUCGACUCAAAAGAUAUACAUACAGUGCUUAAUCUGUGAAGAACGUCAAUUGCGAAAACCUGAAAACUUAAACCAUCAAUCAGUAAAAGAUAUGGCCAAUGAAUUUGAAGAUUUUCGCGAUGUAGCAAAUGCCUCCCGCUUCCGUUGGUUUUUGUGACAAAAUCUACCAAGUGUUUUUUGGUGAUUUCAUAAAAGUAAUGAGUUAAUGAAUAUACACGCAAUGCAGAAACAUAGAGUCCUAUUACGGGCAUAAUGCAUUAAGACUUACAUUUUUUGCACAAAUCAAUCAAUUUGCUCAAAAUUUAAAAUCAAACAUUUGGAAAACAAUAAAAAUUAUAAGCAAUAUUUAUGCUUUACAUAACAAUCUAUUCUUAAGAUAAUUAGAAUGUGCGGCACAAAAUAAUAUGCCACGUAUCGACUCAAAGGAUACAUAUCACGCUCAACAGUAUAAACAUGAAAACCUGAAAGUUUUAACCAUCAAUCAGAGAAAGGUUUGCAAGACAAAAUACACACAAUCAUUAGGCGUGUUUUAGGUGCAUACGUACGAUGUAAUAAGAUCAUUAUUAGCUACUAAGUACUAUUAAGUUUUUUUAUGUCUUAUUUAUGUUUUUAAACUCUGCUUUCAUUAUGACAGGAGAUAUCAAGGAAUUUCAUAGAUACAGCUAAAAUUUUAAAUCACAAAAGAACAGAGCAAGUUUUCUAAGAGCUAUGAAAAUCGAUGUGAAUGAUGGCUUAAAUUCGUGUUAUCACAUUAUUAACACAGAAUAACUGAAUAAAACUAUAUUCGAU